GUGAGACGUUUGAGCUGACAGUAUUCCGCCAACAAUUCUCCGUAUCUCGUCGCAAUGAUUCUUUCGAGAAAUCUAGGGAGCAAAAUAAACAAAUACAAUGAACUAAGUUUUUUGAUUGACUCGUGACGAAAAGUGGCUCAAGUUGAAUAUUUUCCGCAGUUCAUAAUUAUGAAAUAAUCAUUUCAGGCGUCUCCUGACAACCCUGAAAAAUUUUCCCCCGCAACCCUGAUAAAGCGGAGAAAUUUUCCGGAGAGUCGGUGAUAAGUGAAAAAUCGAGGGAUGAAGGGAAAGCCGAUGGCUUGGUAGCCCCUAGUGACGUUGGGCCCACAACGACGACGCCAGAGGACGAAUGGACAGGCUGAGAGGACCAGGAGGGCAUUCGGGCCUUGACCUUCGAACUGGGCAGUCCUUCAAUCACCUUCCAACGUCAUCAAUUUUUUUCGUAGUCUGGUCACGUGACUUCGGGGCUUGUGCUACACUUGUAGUUAAUUCAGUGGAUUAAAUAAAUAGUUUGUAAAUAUGUAAAA